rnacentral:rRNA from 1 species
GGAUUAGAUACCCUGGUAGUCCACGCCGUAAACGAUGUCAACUAGCUGUCUGUGAACUUGAUUCGUGGGUAGCGUAGCUAACGCGCUAAGUUGACCGCCUGGGGAGUACGGCCGCAAGGUUAAAACUCAAAUGAAUUGACGGGGGCCCGCACAAGCGGUGGAGCAUGUGGUUUAAUUCGAUGCAACGCGAAGAACCUUACCAUCCCUUGACAUCCAGAGAACUUACUAGAGAUAGUUUGGUGCCUUCGGGAACUCUGAGACAGGUGCUGCAUGGCUGUCGUCAGCUCGUGCCG